rnacentral:rRNA from 1 species
AACGUAGGACGCAAGCGUUAUCCGGAAUUACUGGGCGUAAAGCGCGUGUAGGUGGUUGCAUAAGUCACUGUUGAAAGCUCCCGGCUAAACUGGGAGAGGUGCGGUGAGACUGUGUGGCUAGAGUAUGGGAGAGGGAUGCAGAAUUCCGGGUGUAGUGGUGAAAUGCGUAGAGAUCCGGAGGAAUACCAGAGGCGAAGGCGGCAUCCUGGCCUGUUCUUGACGCUGAGGCGCGAAAGCUAGGGGAGCAAACGGG